GCUUGGAUGGCUCAGUUGGUUAGAGCGCAGGUCUCAUACUUUCAGUAUGACCACCCAAGUGGUGGGUAAUCCUGAGGUCGUGAGUUCGAUCCUCACUCCGAGCA
rnacentral:tRNA from 1 species